UACGUAGGUGGCAAGCGUUGUCCGGAAUUAUUGGGCGUAAAGAGCUCGUAGGCGGUCUGUCGCGUCUGGUGUGAAAACUCAGGGCUUAACCCUGAGCUUGCAUCGGGUACGGGCAGACUAGAGUGCGGUGGGGGAGACUGGAAUUCCUGGUGUAGCGGUGAAAUGCGCAGAUAUCAGGAGGAACACCGGUGGCGAAGGCGGGUCUCUGGGCCGUAACUGACGCUGAGGAGCGAAAGCAUGGGGAGCGAACAGG
rnacentral:rRNA from 1 species